rnacentral:rRNA from 1 species
GAAGCCUGAUCAGCCAUGCCGCGUGUGUGAUGAAGGUCUUCGGAUUGUAAAGCACUUUAAGUUGGGAGGAAGGGCAUUAACCUAAUACCUUGGUGUUUUGACGUUACCGACAGAAUAAGCACCGGCUAACUUCGUGCCAGCAGCCGCGGUAAUAA